CAGCCGCCGCGGUAAUACGUAGGUCCCGAGCGUUGUCCGGAUUUAUUGGGCGUAAAGCGAGCGCAGGCGGUUAGAUAAGUCUGAAGUUAAAGGCUGUGGCUUAACCAUAGUACGCUUUGGAAACUGUUUAACUUGAGUGCAAGAGGGGAGAGUGGAAUUCCAUGUGUAGCGGUGAAAUGCGUAGAUAUAUGGAGGAACACCAGUGGCGAAGGCGACUCUCUGGUCUGUAACUGACGCUGAGGCGCGAAAGCGUGGGGAGCGAACAGGAUUAGAUACCCGAGUAGUCCCUGUCUCUUAUACA
rnacentral:rRNA from 1 species